UUGCGGUUAAAACGCUCGUAGUCGAAUUCUUGCUAGGUGGCUCCGGUGCUUCCCAGUGAAGUAUACGCGGUAAUCUCCUGUGCUAUUACUUGGGGAAGGUGUAUAUGCUUCAAUGCAUGUCGCACUACCUAAGUCCUUACUUUGAGGGAAUGAGUGUGUUUCAAGCAGGCGCAAGCCUUGAAUAUGAUAGCAUGGAAUAACAGCAUGAGACCUUCUUUCAAAGCUGUUGGUUCUUUGGAAUUAGGGAAUGGAAACAUGGAUAGUUGGGGGUAUUCGUAUUUAACUGUCAGAGGUGAAAUUCUUGGAUUUUUUAAAGACAAACAAUUGCGAAGGCAUUUACUCAGGAUGUUCUCAUUGAUCAAGAACGAAAGUUAGGGGAUCGAAGACGAUCAGAUACCGUCCUAGUCUUAACCAUAAACCCAUGUCGGCUGGAGAUUGGAGCUGUCAGAU
rnacentral:rRNA from 1 species